rnacentral:ncRNA from 1 species
CAUGGUGGCUCACGCUACGAUUAAUAGGGAAUGCCGUGUAAUCCGGCAACAGUACCCGCUGCUGUGAGACGCCUGAGAAACUGCGCCGCAACGCUGAUGCUGCCCCGCUUUUUAUGACGAGUGGGCUGCAUCGGGCCGAGUUGCCACUGGCCGCAUGCAAUGUGCAUUGAGGCUGGGAAGGCUGGCGCAGUGGAGGUGCCGAGUCAGAACACCUGCCACCACUU